rnacentral:rRNA from 1 species
GUGGGGAAUCUUAGACAAUGGGCGCAAGCCUGAUCUAGCCAUGCCGCGUGAGCGAUGAAGGCCUUAGGGUUGUAAAGCUCUUUCAGCUGGGAAGAUAAUGACGGUACCAGCAGAAGAAGCCCCGGCUAACUCCGUGCCAGCAGCCGCGGUAAUACGAAGGGGGCUAGCGUUGUUCGGAAUUACUGGGCGUAAAGCGCACGUAGGCGGAUCAGAAAGUCAGAGGUGAAAUCCCAGGGCUCAACCUUGGAACUGCCUUUGAAACUCCUGAUCUUGAGGUCGAGAGAGGUGAGUGGAAUUCCGAGUGUAGAGGUGAAAUUCGUAGAUAUUCGGAGGAACACCAGUGGCGAAGGCGGCUCACUGGCUCGAUACUGACGCUGAGGUGCGAAAGCGUGGGGAGCAAACAGGAUUAGAUACCCCGGUAGUCC